UCUCAACUGGCCUCCCUGGUUAAAUAAAGGUGUUCUCAACUGGCCUACCAGGUUAAAUAAAGGUGUUCUCAACUGGCCUACCAGGUUAAAUAAAGGUGUUCUCAACUGGCCUACCAGGUUAAAUAAAGGUGUUCUCAACUGGCCUACCAGGUUAAAUAAAGGUGUUCUCAACUGGCCUACCAGGUUAAAUAAAGGUGUUCUCAACUGGCCUACCAGGUUAAAUAAAGGUGUUCUCAACUGGCCUACCUGGUUAAAUAAAGGU